AGGAGGACGCCGAAGGUGGGGCUAAUGACUGGGGUGAAGUCGUAACAAGGUAGCCGUACCGGAAGGUGCGGCUGGAUCACCUCCUAACAGGGAGACAACAAAAUGUUUAAUUUUAUUAUUUUGUCACCUUAGGUCGAUCGGUAUCUCACGUUCUUAAUUUAUUAAGAAUUUCAUUUCCUAAGUUUUUCUAGGUCACACCCAUUAUUUUUCCUGGGCCAUUAGCUCAGGUGGUUAGAGCGCACCCCUGAUAAGGGUGAGGUCCCUGGUUCAAGUCCAGGAUGGCCCAUAUCUCUAUGUUGGGGGUAUAGCUCAGUUGGUAGAGCGCCUGCUUUGCAAGCAGGAUGUCAGCGGUUCGAGUCCGCUUACCUCCACUGAUUACCACCUCUUCCAUAAUCUGUAGAAAAGGAAAUGUUUUGAGUUGUGAUCAAAUUCUGAACGAAUCUAGCUUCCUAAUGAAAUCAUUAAGAUGCUGGACUCAUUGAUUUAAUUUCAUUGUUUUCAGAGAACCUUGACAACUGCAUAGAUUAUUUUAAAGACAAUAAGCAUCUUUAAUGAUGCAGAUUUAUUAUUUGUGCGAAUGCAUUAAUAACAAUUCUAUUAAGCUGAUGCUUCAAUUUUGAAGUUAUUGGUCAAGCUACAAAGGGCUCACGGAGGAUACCUAGGCACACAGAGGCGA
rnacentral:misc_RNA from 1 species